UCCCGUAUAGAUAUAAAAGGAGAGCUCUAAAGAAGGUGUUUUGUCUCUGGUGGAAUUCAGAAGCUUAGAAAAGUGGGAGAGACCUGUUGUUGGAUCUGGGAUGAUGGUCUCGUUUUAUGGGAGAAGAUGCCAUCUCUAUUGGGCAGGGGCCUGUUUGCCCAGAAAGUUGUUAUCUUCUCCCCCAAUCAGAGAUCUAGAUCUACCAAAACACCAAAGAGAGGAACUCGGUUGGUUUUGUUUGUAACAGAAGCCAAGGUCGGUCUUGAGCUUAGAUUUCGACAGCGGUUCUUAAUAGGAAUAUGCUUUCCGAUAACCUAUCUGCUCCUGAGUCUCCUGGAACAAUAGUUUCUCUUUGCCUUUCACAUCUCUCUUGCUCUGAGGCCAUGACUUCACAAUGUUACUUUUUUCUUUAGAAAGAAGUUGACGGUGCUUUUUUUUUGUUCGUGUCUGACUGAUGACUAUAGGUCGGGUCGGACCCGGCCCUUAGACUUAAACAUUGCUACAGUUCCCGCUCAUAUGGACCCACCAGUAGUGCUUUUAAGCCUAGUUCGAAAGCUCCCGGUUCCCCUAGGUUUACCAUUUUGCUUUUCUUUGUUUGGGUUUCGCGGUUUUCUCAUAGGCAUCAUCACAACCAGGAUCCUGAAGCUCGUUUGGUUUUGCUUUAAGAAUCGCUCUUUGAUUUUGAUUGCACACAAUGUCGAAUCCUCGUGAGAUUCUCCUUUGAUGGAAACCCGAAGCGAACUCUGUGCGGUGCAGGUUGAGUCUGCCCCGUGCUACUCUCCGAGCUCAACAUGUAACAAGGCUUGAACUGCCUCGUCCGUUUCCACCUCCAGAGAUUCCUUCCUGCUGCUAAUGAAGAUGGACCAAUUCCCUUAUAUCUAGUCUUCCCCAUCGCAGAUUAUCAUGUUCCCGAUCCAGUAGAGAUACCUGAUCAUGCUCCUCAUG